GAUGAGUGGGGGGAGAGAGGAGAAGAACAUGUCUCCCAGCUGUGGGGCCCGGACUCCAGCUUAGGGAUACCCUUUGUUCACGCACACCAUGGCCCACUAGCCAAACCUGGCCAGCUGUCUGAGUCUGUAAAGGAAGUUCAGAGAACAUUGGCAACCCUUGUCCUGUAGGGUUGCUUUCAGGAUAAGGAGAAAACACGUGGGAAAAAAGGCCUUAGCAGGGUGCCAGCACCCACCACAUUCCAGUGAUUCAUGUCAUUCUCGAACCUUGCAGUGUUCAACAAAAAUAACAGUAAUGAUCAUAGCUAAUGUACAGACUUGAAGAAGUCUGCCUCUUAUCACCCCUCUUAAAUGGCAAAGGUCACUCUCCAUCUUGCCUAGAGGCCUGGGGAAGGUUGCAGGGUCCUUCUGAUGCUGCAUCGGAGCUGGCCUUUCACUCGAGUUCCCUAAUCUGAUACUCAAACGACUGCUCCUGUGAAAAUUCCUGACCAGCCAGCCUGAUGGAGCAGUGGGGACAGAUGAUGUCAGCGAGAAGCUGAGCUGUGCUCCCUUGAUGACUUAAGAGUGGAGCUGAGACCAGACCAUGAGCACAGUUUAUAGGACAGCGACUCAGACGGUGGUGUAGAAAGACCCCGAACUCCUCUCCUCUCCUGAGCACAC